rnacentral:rRNA from 1 species
UACAGAGGGUGCAAGCGUUAAUCGGAAUUACUGGGCGUAAAGCGUGCGUAGACGGUUAUCUAAGUCGGAUGUGAAAUCCCCGGGCUCAACCUGGGAAUUGCAUUCGAGACUGAAUAGCUAGGGUGCGGAAGAGGGAAGCGGAAUUUCCGGUGUAGCGGUGAAAUGCGUAGAUAUCGGAAGGAACAUCAGUGGCGAAAGCGGCUUCCUGGUCCAGCACCGACGUUCAGGCACGAAAGCGUGGGGAGCAAACAGG